UAAGGAAAAGCAGGUAGUGUGUAAAGAGAACAAAAAUCCAUCAUAUGACAGGAGUCUAAGAAAAUAAUUGAAGGGAGAUUUCCAGAUGACUUUUCAGUGCUGUUCACUGAAUUCUGUUCUACCACAGCAGGACUUUCCAAGGCAGGAUGCAGAACUUGUCGCCAUAGUCAGACAUACAGUGCAAUAUGGUAAGACACCGUCAUUCUGUCAAUUUAUGCCAGCUUGGUCAACGAGCGACGCUUUCCCAGAGGGUUUUUUUCCAGCUAUUCAAGCUAGGAUGUCAGCAGCCAUGUUUGAUGCCUCCUCCUUAAUCGUAGUUAGAAAAUGUAAUCUGAACUUGAUUUAUUCUGGUGGGGUGUUGGUCCUGAACCUUGUAGAAAAAGGUCUCUGUUAUCCCUCCCACGUGGAUCGGGAAGGAGGGAGGUUAUUAGGAAGUUACAGGAUAUUUAUGCUGACAGUUCUUCUCACAGCUUAUUCUGACCACAGGGUUCUUCUCGGUGUCAUGUCAAUUAACACAACUCUUGGCUGCCUUUUUAAGCCCCUGACUACUUUCACAGGCUUGGUAACGGUGAAUUGAAAAGCCACCCACAAAGAAACACCACUGUCCUCAAGAAAGCUAAUAUGGUUGGUAUCUGGUUUCACAGCAUCAACGGAAUAGAACAAGAAGUCUGGAAGUACGUUUCAAGGACUUACUUGCCACUCACCGAUACAGCAAAGCUCACUGAUGUCUGUAGACAGUGUGCUCUGGGAGGUGGAACACUUAAAGGAUCAAUACCAUUCCACUCUUACAGCAUAAAACACAAUGCUACCCUUCCGGUCUUCCCUUCAGCAUUACAAACAUCUUUCGGAGGAGGGGAGGAGGGGGAUUCAGAGAAACUAUGUGUGAACUACCUGAAAAAAAACCACAACAGAGGAAAACCAUAAAACAGUUUGAGAGGUAAUAAAAAGCAAACCUCCAGCCAGCCAAAGAAAUUGCUGAUUCGGCAUUAGGUAUGUGUGGGAUGUACCAUUAGCAGAUGACAAGCCCUGAAGAAGACUUGAGAAAGAAUUCCACAAAGGUGUUCAUCAUGUCUUCAGACUGCUUUGAUGCUCUACCCAAGAUGAUUGGUGGGGAAGACACAAGCCAGUCCUAAACAGGACAUAUUGUCAAGUCACUCAAAACAAAUCAUCUCUGUCAGAAUCUCCCCCAAUUUACACUGAGCCAGAACUGAUUAAACUACAGCCAGGUCCUGGAUCAGACUGUCCUAGCAGCUCCGUUCCUCCCAGCUGUCAGAGUUUAGCUGUAGAUUUCUACAUAGAUUUGCCCCAUUGCUAAUCCAUCCAUGUGGUUUCCAGGUGGAUAAAAUCUGCCUCAUCAAAAGGUGCUGCAUACCCAUCUGCUAAAUCAGGUGAACAUAAGGUUUUCUUUUCACCCAUUCCAGAGAGAGCUAACUGAAAUUACCAACCACCCCUUCGUAUCUAAAAGUAGCUGACAUACCCUUUUAUGUCCCUUCCUCCCUCGCCCUCCACAGCAGAUAAGUCUCUUCAGGCCAAACUGGCUCAGAUAAAACAGCUUUCAAGCCACAGCCAAUUUUUAUUUUUUUUUUUUCCCCAUUAAAAGCUAAAGAUCUUCUGCCACUCCCAAACAGCCUUAUCUGAAUUGGAUUCUCUCUCUGAAUCCCAUUGC